GCAUCCAGGACUCAAGUGUGAUGUGACUCAACUUAGACUUGAGCACUAAUGACUCAGACUUGAGCUUUGCUUGCAUCCAAACUUAAAAGGUGGUGAGGAGGACUCACUUACUGAUAGAGAGUUUUAUUUUCUUUGUUAGGAUUUUUAUAUAACUGGAUUCAUUUUCAAGCUAAGGUUCACCUGUAUGCAUGUCAACGUGCCGCCUUGUUUAUCAACAGUUUGAGGAUGCCUAAAGAGGUGCCAUGACUUAUGAGUUUUGCCCGCAAAGAUUUUACAGUAGAUCAAACCAGAUUGGUUCAACAGGUUUGAUAUGUAAAGAACCUUUGAGGAGAAGCUCAAACUGUGACAGAGAUUUAUCCAGGAUGAAUCUAGAAAAGAGUGGAAUCAGGUGUGCAGGAGUUGGGCAACAGGUGCACGUCAUGGCCAAUCACUCUGCUACAUAUACUGGGCCUCUACUCCACCAAGCUGCCAGAUUGUAGACUCUGCUACACAGUCAGUCUAGGUCCCGCCAGUCUUAUUGAAAUUCUUUGAAUUGUGAAUACCUACUGAUACCUGUUCUCCUCUGCCAGCAGUGCUGCGCUGUUCAGCUCAUGCUUUCCACUCCUCUCCUACUCUGGACCUGCAUGCACAAUCGGACCUCAGGACUCUUCAUUGGACUGUCACACUUCACCACUAUACCAAGCUGAGACUCUCAAAUACUAGGUGAUCAUCAGAAAUAAAUAUUUUACUCCUUCAA